AUACGGAGGGUGCAAGCGUUACUCGGAAUCACUGGGCGUAAAGGACGCGUAGGCGGGUUGGUUAGUCAGGUGUGAAAUCCUACAGCUUAACCGUAGAACUGCACUUGAAACUACCAACCUAGAGUAUGGGAGGGGGAGAUGGAAUUAGUGGUGUAGGGGUAAAAUCCGUAGAUAUCACUAGGAAUACCGAAAGCGAAGGCGAUCUCCUGGAACAUAACUGACGCUAAGGCGUGAAAGCGUGGGGAGCAAACAGGAUUAGAUACCCGAGUAGUCC
rnacentral:rRNA from 1 species